UUUUUUUUUUUUUUUUUUGUUUCAAGACACAGUGGCCCAGGUUGGCCUAGAACUCACUAUGUAGCCUAUGCUGGCCUCAAAUUCACAACACUCUUCUUGCUUGUCUCCUGAAUGCUGGGAUUGCAGGGCUUGUUCAUCAUGUCUGGUUUAUGUAGUACUGGAAAUAGAAGGCAGGGUUCCAUGCACACUAGGCAGGUGCUCUGCUAGAGUAGUGGAUCAAUCGCAGUGACUGCAUCUGGGGAGUAGUGGAUCAAUCGCAGUGACUGCAUCUGGGGAGUAGUGGAUCAAUCGCAGUGACUGCAUCUGGAGAGUAGUGGAUCAAUCGCAGUGACUGCAUCUGGGGUACACUGAAGCUGUCUGGGGACAUUUCCAGUUAACACCACUGAGAAUGAUCAGGCUCCAGCAGGUGAGGCAAGGGACGCUGAUAAGCAUCUUGAUGUGCAAAGAUGUUGCUUACAAUGAGCUAGCAUCUGGCCCAAAUGUGGGAAAGUACAAAGGCUUAAAGUAGACUGAAGUCUCCACGUGCAGGGGAUCUGUGAAGCUUUGCUGCCUGCUGCCAGUUGGUGCUAAUUACUUGUGUGUCACUGUAAGGGGAACCUUGAGGGAAAUUGUGUGGGAAGAAAGCUGUUCUUUGGCUCUUCAUUUCAGAGGGCCUCAAUCCAGUCCUGCAUUGAAGUUAGCCUGAGUGCCCCCUGCUGUGACCUCAUACUCCAGGCACCUGGGACUGGGGUGGUCAGAUCAGGGAUAAGAUGGCCAGUUCUGUCUGAUUUUGACUUUCAGAAAAGUGAAUGAAGAGUUAUCUAGUGCAGGUGUGUCCCACACCAGUGAAGGACAUCUGUGCUGUUACUCGGUAGGAUCUAGCAGUCGCAUCCCAAAGCAAUUAAGUUACUAACCAGAGUACUGGGCAGUCACCUGAAACACAUUCUUAUCCUUAGAAAUCUUCCAAGCGAACCCCCCAGACAACUCUGGUUACUGAUAGCUGUCCAUAGACUGAUAGGCAGUCUCCCUUGCUGAAGACAACACCUACAUAACUCACUGAACACGGAGAGGUCAUGCUGGUGCCUUUGGCCCUGCAGACUAGUGUCCGUGGUUCUGGGAGGUACUCUGCAUGCUAUCAGAGGAGAAAGGUGAACACCAACCCAGAUACAAAUCUUUUUAUCUGCAAUGGUGACCUUCCUGCAUGAGAUGCUGGGGCAAUGGCGGCACUAAGGUUGUAGAAGUAACCCACACUCUCUGGAUUUAAAGAACUGCAUGGGAUAGAGCCCAUGCCUCACGCUGACUUGGUGGCCAGGAACCUGAGACUACAUAAACCAUGACCUAGGGGGAAACUAUUGUUCUGCUCAAGGGCUAUAGCAAUACAACAAUUCCCAAUGUCACUCUGCUGUACUCACAGAUCAGCACCUUGCUCAGCCAUCAUCAGAGAAGCUUCCCUCUUUAGUAGAUGGGAAUAAAUACAGAGACUCAACAACUGGACAUUGUGCAGAUAGUGAAAGACAUUGGAACACUCAGCCCUAAAUGGUAACAGGAACUAUGCAGAUGAGGAGGUGGAGCCAGAGGGGAUGGAGGGCUCCAAGGGAACAGUGCCUUCCAGGCCCAACAGAACUGAUGCACAUAUGAGCUGACAGACUGUGGCAGCGCACAGGGCCUAUGCAGGUCCAAACCAGAUGGUUCUCAGUACUGAGGUGGGGGAAGGAGACAUAAGCUCUCAUCCCUAACCCAAAGCUAUAACUAACAACUGCCUAUGAAGGAAAAAAUUAAUUUCUCCAAGAGUAUCUUACUGGAUAUACAAAUACAAUUAAGGGCAGGUCCCAUGCUCAGGAAAACAUGGUGAACACCACAAGUAAACUCUGUGUGUGUGUGUGUGUGUGUGUGUGUGUGUGUGUGUGUGAGAGAGAGAGAGAGAGAGAGAGAGAGAGAGAGAGAGAAGUCAUGGAUAGCCCUGGUGUUGUUUGUAUUUUGAUGCUAAUUCCGAUUCCCUAAGAGGGGCUGCCUAGGAGGAGGAGUGAAUCACCUACUCAGGUGACUUCAUGUGACCAUUCUAAUGAAUAAAGAUUUCAAGGAAACCAUUCCCUGGACGGGUAGGCGGGUCUUCCAGGUCAGACGGGCAUGGCGGGGGUGGGGUGGGGCAAAAGAGGAGAGGAGAGUGGGCUGGAGGACAGGAGCAUAAAGACGAAAAUGUAGGUAGUGAAUCCCCGCUCCCCCACCCCCUGUUUCAGGUGGCAGAUCUGUUUGGGUCAGCUACCAGAGGAUUUAACUUAGAAUGGCUGAUAAAUUAGGAUGUUAAUUGUUGUGCCCAGUGAUUGAGUUACCGUUGAUUCUGAACUAAGUUUGUGUGGUGUUUUCUUUCACUUGGCGGCUCAACUGGGUUCCGGAGAGAAAAGGUACAGUGAUGUGGAAUCCCAGCCAGCCACAGGAAUUUGGAAGUGUGGAGCUGGCAUGGCAGCUUAACAAGCAGGGUGGAGAGCUCCAGGACAGAGAGUCUGCUGAGAAGAACAAGGCCCGCCAGUGCCUUGCUGGCAAUAGCAUGGAUAGUUUCUUUUUACAUUUCCUGCUGUGUGUAUGUGUGUGUGUCUAUGUGAGUGUCUCUGUCUGUGUCUAUGCAUGUGUCUGUAUGUCUUGUGCUCUUUUUUAGUUUCUUUUUUGUUUAUGUGUCUUCGUUUUGUUUUAACCUUGAAUGCUUGUCUUUUUUAUAUGCCUAUUUUUUUUUAAGAGAGAAAGAAGGUGUGGGGUUGAAAGGGUGGAGAGGUGGAAAGGAUCUGGGAGGAGACAAGGGAAGGGAAAACCAUGGCCAGAAUAUAUCACAUGAAAGUAACUUUAUUUUCAAUUAAAAAAAGAAAUUUCCCAUUAUGGUUAUGAGGUAGCAAUGAACACUACGGUUGGGGGUCAGCACAUGAGGAACUUUGUUAAAAGACUGCAGCAUUAGAAGGGUUGAGAACCACUGUCCUAUGAACUUCUGGCUGUCCUCAUGUUCCUCCACCCUGAGAAAUCGCAAUACUGCUGUAUUUACUGUCGCCUGCAAACCCUCCCUAAGGGUUGGUGAGAUGGCUCAGUGAGUGGGUUCUUCUAUCUUCCACCCUUCUUCACUCCUUCCCCACCCUUUCAACCUCCAACACUAAAUAGGAAAGAAAAAGAAUAGAGAGGAAAAGGGGGCCACCUUAUUGCUAGACUACUUCCUGCUGAUUAAAGGUGUCCAGUUCCUUGGGUACCUCUGAUCUUUGUCAUCAGGAUAUCUAUUUUCCUGUUGUUGUUUCUUUUUUGCUCAAGACUACUC
rnacentral:lncRNA from 1 species